UCGGGAAUUUUGGGCAAUGGGCGAAAGCCUGACCCAGCAACGCCGCGUGAAGGAUGAAGUAUUUCGGUAUGUAAACUUCGAAAGAAUAGGAAGAAUAAAUGACGGUACUAUUUAUAAGGUCCGGCUAACUACGUGCCAGCAGCCGCGGUAAUACGUAGGGACCAAGCGUUGUUCGGAUUUACUGGGCGUAAAGGGCGCGUAGGCGGCAAUUCAAGUCAUCUGUGAAAUCUCCGGGCUUAACUCGGAACGGUCAGAUGAUACUGCUUUGCUAGAGUGCAGAAGGGGCAAUCGGAAUUCUUGGUGUAGCGGUGAAAUGCGUAGAUAUCAAGAGGAACACCUGAGGUGAAGACGGGUUGCUGGGCUGACACUGACGCUGAGGCGCGAAAGCCAGGGGAGCAAACGGGAUUAGAUACCCAGUAGUCCCUGAGCGGGCUGGCAAGGCGCAU
rnacentral:rRNA from 1 species